GACAGAGGGGGCAAGCGUUGUUCGGAAUUACUGGGCGUAAAGGGCGCGUAGGCGGCCUUCUAAGUCGAACGUGAAAUCCCCGGGCUCAACCCGGGAACUGCGUCCGAUACUGGAAGGCUUGAAUCCGGGAGAGGGAUGUGGAAUUCCAGGUGUAGCGGUGAAAUGCGUAGAUAUCUGGAGGAACACCGGUGGCGAAGGCGACAUCCUGGACCGGUAUUGACGCUGAGGCGCGAAAGCCAGGGGAGCAAACGGG
rnacentral:rRNA from 1 species